rnacentral:rRNA from 1 species
UCGGGAAUAUUGCACAAUGGAGGGAACUCUGAUGCAGUGACGCCGCGUGCAGGAAGAAGGUUUUCGGAUUGUAAACUGCUUUAGAUAGGGAAGAAGAAAAGACAGUACCUAUAGAAUAAGCUCCGGCUAACUACGUGCCAGCAGCCGCGGUAAUACGUAGGGAGCGAGCGUUAUCCGGAAUUAUUGGGUGUAAAGGGUGCGUAGACGGGAACUUAAGUUAGUUGUGAAAUCCCUUAGCUCAACUAAGGAAUGGCAACUGAAACUGGGUUUCUUGAGUGCAGGAGAGGAAAGUGGAAUUCCUAG